GCGCUGGAUGGUGAGCGGGGGCCGCAUGACCCAUUGAUGGUCUGGACGGCUGUGCCCGGCGCCAGGUUCAACCGCCCGGCCGGUGCGCC
rnacentral:tRNA from 1 species